GAUGAACGCUGGCGGCGUGCCUAAUACAUGCAAGUCGAGCGAACAGAUGAGGAGCUUGCUCCUCUGACAUUAGCGGCGGACGUGUGAGUAACUCGUGGAUAACCUACCUAUAAGACUGGGAUAACUUCGUGAAACCGCAUCUAAUCCCGGAUAAUAUAUUGAACCGCAUGGUUCAAUAGUGAAAGACGGUUUUGCUGUCACUUAUAGAUGGAUCCGCGCCGCAUUAGCUAGUUGGUAAGGUAACGGCUUACCAAGGCGACGAUGCGUAGCCGACCUGAGAGGAUGAUCGGCCACACUGGAACUGAGACACGGUCCAGACUCCUACGGGAGGCAGCAGUAGGGAAUCUUCGACAAUGGGCGAAAGCUUGACGGAGCAACGCCGCGUGAGUGAUGAAGGUCUUCGGAUCGUAAAACGCUGUUAUUAGGGAAGAACAAAUGUGUAAGUAACUAUGCAAGUCUUGACGGUACCUAAUCAGAAAGCAACGGCUAACUACGUG
rnacentral:rRNA from 1 species